AGACACACUUCUUAUAAAUCAAUAAUUUUUUUAAAAGAAAAAAGCUCAUGCACGAUAAAAGAAUAUAAUUAAAUUAACCAGAUCCUCAUUUAAGAAAUAUACUGCUAGUAAGGAGUCAAGAAAGAUUCAAGAAAACAAUAUACUUAGAAAAGGACAUAAAAAACAUAACAAUAAAUUUCUCUAUUUUCCAACUUAGUAAUGCAUACAUUGUUUGCAGUUAGUACAACAUGCCCAUUACUUAAUUUAUCACACUUAAUAUUUA
rnacentral:misc_RNA from 1 species